rnacentral:lncRNA from 1 species
AAAUACAUAGGUUAUUUGACGUGAAGCUUGCGUGCCGCAAGAAAACUUUCUUCAUUUUUAAACGUCCGUGCGGCUUUGACAGUGACUUUCAUUAUGCAACUAGACCGCGAAGUAGUCAUCAUUGCAGCCUAAUUUGUUAUAACGACACCUCUAGGUCCAUAUAAAUAUUUAGGAUUCCCGGCAAGCGUGUACCAGCACGUUGCGCGCCAUAAGAACUCCUUUGCACAAGAUCUUCCGGCCUGCAGGCAGAUGCCUUCAAACAGAGGGUAUAAAAAAAUUCAUAGGAGCAUGAAUUUUGUCCUGACUCCGUAUCAUUUGCCAACAUAAGCCGAGAUGCAGGCAAGAAACGCUACCCCGCCGCCGCCUGCACCAGCCAAGGGAAGUAUACGCGAAGGCAGCCGCUAGAGCUCACCGGGUAAGACAGCCCGCUGUAGAACUCCACGCGGUGAUCUAGAGCCAGCGGAAUGUCGAGGUCACGACGCUUGCCCUUGCCCAGUACCGUCACGUUGAUUGUGCCCACGCCUGCAUGUGUGGGUCGAUGAUGGUCCUGACCCUGCUGCAACAGCUGCUCCCAAAGACUGCUGAAAUUACGGAUAAGGCCCGAGCCCCGCGCCGUUGUCCACUUGCGCAGGGUGCCCUGGAGGGUGAGGAGCGGGCGCAAGGCCAAGAAGAGAGAAGAGAGGAUCAGACGCCAAGGGGGAACCAGGACUAUGUCCGAAAUGCGCACACGUAAUUUUUCGGGGCAAGUCCUGUCCCACCUCACCUGUACCACAAAGCCCCGGAGACAAGUAUGGGAGGUGCAUUCCACGGGAGGUUUAUACGCCGCCACCAUAGUAGCCCAAUUCACUAGCUUGCUGCGAAGCCGGCUUCUGUUUGGGGCCGUAGCAUAGAGCGGAAUGGAGCGGGGGCGUUCGGGGCAGACAUGAUAAAGGGAGUCCUCACUUGGUAAGCCGCUUGAAAGAUCGAUUUGAAUGUGCUAAGCAUUCUGCAUCUAUGAGAGGGGGUGACCUUUACCAUCUGGACUUGUCCAGAAGCGAUUUAUUUCCAAAAAGACAUAAUUUCUUACAGCACAGGAAAAACGCCCACCAGGAGGAAUCGAACCUCUGGGCCUCC